GGAGGAGGCAGGUAGCUGGGUCCAGGGGCAGGCAGAAGGUCAUACACAGGAGGAGGCAGGUAGCUGGGUCCAGGGGCAGGCAGAAGGUCAUACACAGGAGGAGGCAGGUAGCUGGGUCCAGGGGCAGGCAGAAGGUCAUACACAGGAGGAGGCAGGUAGCUGGGUCCAGGAGCAGGCAGAAGGUCAUACACAGGAGGAGGCAGGUAGCUGGGUCCAGGGGCAGGCAGAAGGUCAUACACAGGAGGAGGCAGGUAGCUGGGUCCAGGGGCAGGCAGAAGGUCAUACACAGGAGGAGGCAGGUAGCUGGGUCCAGGGGCAGGCAGAAGGUCAUACACAGGAGGAGGCAGGUAGCUGGGUCCAGGGGCAGGCAGAAGGUCAUACACAGGAGGAGGCAGGUAGCUGGGUCCAGGGGCAGGCAGAAGGUCAUACACAGGAGGAGACAGGUAGCUGGGUCCAGGAGCAGGCAGAAGGUCAUACACAGGAGGAGGAAGGUAGCUGGGUCCAGGGGCAGGCAGAAGGUCAUACACAGGGGGCCAAAAAAAGGCUACAGUACAGGCAGGGAAAGGCUAGUAACGUCAUCCGGGAGAUCAUGCAAUAGGUUGAUAACAGGAAAUCCGAUAGGCUGAAGUACCGGCAGGGAAGAGGCAAAAGGCGUCGUUAGCGAGGCAGGCCAAAACUAUCCUACACAGGAGGAUUAAAUUAUGGGAAAAGCAGCGCUCCAAAUAGAAGUGUGUCACAAAACAAACAAUACCUCACAGUGAUGGGGUGCAAAGAACUGAACUAAAUAGUGUGGGAUAAUGACAUACAGGUGUGUGAACAGGUGAUCAGAAUUCAGGUGAUUGGGAUCUGGAGAGUGAGCUGCGUUCAGGGGAUCUAUGUGUUUGAGAGUGUGAGCUGGAAGCAGACGUUAUAAAGCUAGUCAAUGUAAUAUGUAUGAAUCACCAACGGCAACAGGCACAGACAUUUCCCU
ensembl:lncRNA